AUGAAGACACCUCUUAAGAAUAAAAUCUUUGCAUGAUAUCUUCGUUGCGGAGUCAUUCCUACUAAAGAUAACCUUAUUAAUAGGAAUUGGCAUGGAAGCCCACAAUGUGUCUUUUGUCAUCAUGAGGAGACAAUGAAACAUUUAUUCUUCCAAUGCAAAUUGGCUCGUUCUAUAUGGUCAGUCAUUCAAAUAGCUUCUGACUUGUAUCCUCCCUGUAGUGUUGCUAAUGUAUUUGACAAUUGGUUACAUAGGAUUGAUCACAUGUUUAGAACUCUUCUCAGGUGGGAGCGCUUGCCAUUAUUUGGUCGCUUUGGCUAUAUACAAAUGAUAAGGUUUUAA
rnacentral:rRNA from 1 species